rnacentral:rRNA from 1 species
UACGUAGGGGGCAAGCGUUGUCCGGAUUUAUUGGGCGUAAAGAGCGUGUAGGCGGCUGGGUAGGUCCGCUGUGAAAACUCGAGGCUUAACCUCGAGACGUCGGUGGAAACCAUCCAGCUAGAGUCCGGAAGAGGAGAGUGGAAUUCCUGGUGUAGCGGUGAAAUGCGCAGAUAUCAGGAAGAACACCCGUGGCGAAAGCGGCGCUCUGGGACGGUACUGACGCUGAGACGCGAAAGCGUGGGGAGCGAACAGG